CGAACGGGUGAGUAAUGCGUGACCAACCUGCCCCAUGCUCCAGAAUAGCUCUUGGAAACGGGUGGUAAUGCUGGAUGCUCCAACUUGACGCAUGUCUUGUUGGGAAAGUGUUUAGUGGCAUGGGAUGGGGUCGCGUCCUAUCAGCUUGUAGGCGGGGUAAUGGCCCACCUAGGCUUCGACGGGUAGCCGGCCCGAGAGGGCGGACGGCCACAUUGGGACUGAGAUACGGCCCAGACUCCUACGGGAGGCAGCAGCU
rnacentral:rRNA from 1 species